rnacentral:rRNA from 1 species
UGGGGAAUAUUGCACAAUGGGGGAAACCCUGAUGCAGCGACGCCGCGUGAGCGAAGAAGUAUCUCGGUAUGUAAAGCUCUAUCAGCAGGGAAGAAGAUGACGGUACCUGACUAAGAAGCACCGGCUAAAUACGUGCCAGCAGCCGCGGUAAUACGUAUGGUGCAAGCGUUAUCCGGAUUUACUGGGUGUAAAGGGAGCGUAGACGGAGAAGCAAGUCUGGAGUGAAAGCCCGGGGCUCAACCCCGGGACUGCUUUGGAAACUGUUAUUCUUGAGUGCCGGAGAGGUAAGCGGAAUUCCUAGUGUAGCGGUGAAAUGCGUAGAUAUUAGGAGGAACACCAGUGGCGAAGGCGGCUUACUGGACGGUAACUGACGUUGAGGCUCGAAAGCGUGGGGAGCAAACA